rnacentral:rRNA from 1 species
UGGGGAAUAUUGGACAAUGGGCGAAAGCCUGAUCCAGCAAUGCCGCGUGAGUGAUGAAGGCCUUAGGGUUGUAAAGCUCUUUUACCAGGGAUGAUAAUGACAGUACCUGGAGAAUAAGCUCCGGCUAACUCCGUGCCAGCAGCCGCGGUAAUACGGAGGGAGCUAGCGUUGUUCGGAAUUACUGGGCGUAAAGCGAGCGUAGGUGGUCAUUUAAGUCAGAUGUGAAAGCCCCGGGCUUAACCUGGGAACUGCAUCUGAUACUGGGUGACUAGAGUAGGUGAGAGGGAAGUAGAAUUCCAGGUGUAGCGGUGAAAUGCGUAGAGAUCUGGAGGAAUACCGAUGGCGAAGGCAGCUUCCUGGCAUCAUACUGACACUGAGGUUCGAAAGCGUGGGUAGCAAACAGGAUUAGAUACCCUGGUAGUCCACGCCGUAAACGAUGUCUACCAGUCGUUGGGUCUCUUGAAGACUUAGUGACGCAGUUAACGCAAUAAGUAGACCGCCUGGGGAGUACGGCCGCAAGGUUA